GUCAUGUUCCUGCCAGGAGCUCAGGGGUCUGAGGAGCCAAGGAGCCUGUCCCCAGGCACGUGCAAAUCCAGAGGCAUCGUCCAGACGCUGGCCACCCCAGGCCACCUGGCAUCUUAGCUCCCCCUGGGUACUAACUACCCUACUAUCUCCUGUCUCUCCUCGCCCCGCCCCACCACCCGGGGAACUGGGACUUAUCAAGACAAAGAACAAAAGUCGUGGGGGAAAGAAGCCAAGAGCCAUCUCCACUCUGGGGGACCCCUGCCUCCCAUCUGAGAGGACAGCUCUCUUCCCGGAGCUGGGAUCUGACGCUUGCUGGUGCCAACAGCAGAUACCAGCCCUCAAGGGCCCUGGAAACACCUCCUGGGGACCCUGGAUGGUGGAGCGUUCGUUCCGUCAAUCACUGAUGGCCACUGGGUUGCCACGGGAGUACUUCCGAGAGGAAGAUGAGGGAACUCAGGGCUGAAGGCCAGCGGAUUUGGAAGGAAACAACCUUCGUGUGGUUAACUGAUAACUGAGCCCCAUCCUUGGGCCCCCAGAAGCCUCCUUCCUCCCUCUUCUCAGCACGAUUAAGACGAAAUUACCUGCCUGCUAAUCAUUGCUGAGCCUGUUGAUUUUGCCUUAAAAAAU